ACAGCAGUAGCCGCGGUAAUACGUAGGGUGCAAGCGUUAAUCGGAAUUACUGGGCGUAAAGCGUGCGCAGGCGGUUUUGUAAGACAGAGGUGAAAUCCCCGGGCUCAACCUGGGAACUGCCUUUGUGACUGCAAGGCUAGAGUACGGCAGAGGGGGAUGGAAUUCCGCGUGUAGCAGUGAAAUGCGUAGAUAUGCGGAGGAACACCGAUGGCGAAGGCAAUCCCCUGGGCCUGUACUGACGCUCAUGCACGAAAGCGUGGGGAGCAAACAGGAUUAGAUACCCCUGUAGUCCCUGUCUCUUAUAC
rnacentral:rRNA from 1 species